GACGAACGCUGGCGGCGCGCCUAAUACAUGCAAGUAGAACGCUGAAGGAGGAGCUUGCUCUUCUGGAUGAGUUGCGAACGGGUGAGUAACGCGUAGGUAACCUGCCUGGUAGCGGGGGAUAACUAUUGGAAACGAUAGCUAAUACCGCAUAACAGUAGAUGUUGCAUGACAUUUACUUAAAAGGUGCAAUUGCAUCACUACCAGAUGGACCUGCGUUGUAUUAGCUAGUUGGUGGGGUAACGGCUCACCAAGGCGACGAUACAUAGCCGACCUGAGAGGGUGAUCGGCCACACUGGGACGGAGACACGGCCCAGACUCCUACGGGAGGAAGCAGUAGGGAAUCUUCGGCAAUGGACGGAAGUCUGACCGAGCAACGCCGCGUGAGUGAAGAAGGUUGUCGGAUCGUAAAGCUCUGUUGUAAGAGAAGAACGAGUGUGAGAGUGGAAAGUUCACACUGUGACGGUAUCUUACCAGAAAGGGACGGCUAACUACGUG
rnacentral:rRNA from 1 species